GAUGAACGCUGGCGGCGUGCCUAAUACAUGCAAGUCGAGCGAACAGACGAGGAGCUUGCUCCUCUGACGUUAGCGGCGGACGGGUGAGUAACACGUGGAUAACCUACCUAUAAGACUGGGAUAACUUCGGGAAACCGGAGCUAAUACCGGAUAAUAUAUUGAACCGCAUGGUUCAAUAGUGAAAGACGGUUUUGCUGUCACUUAUAGAUGGAUCCGCGCCGCAUUAGCUAGUUGGUAAGGUAACGGCUUACCAAGGCAACGAUGCGUAGCCGACCUGAGAGGGUGAUCGGCCACACUGGUACUAAGACACGGUCCAGACUCCUACGGGAGGCAGCAGUAGGGAAUCUUCCGCAAUGGGCGAAAGCCUGACGGAGCAACGCCGCGUGAGUGAUGAAGGUCUUCGGAUCGUAAAACUCUGUUAUUAGGGAAGAACAAAUGUGUAAGUAACUAUGCACGUCUUGACGGUACCUAAUCAGAAAGCCACGGCUAACUACGUG
rnacentral:rRNA from 1 species